GACGAACGCUGGCGGCGUGCUUAACACAUGCAAGUCGAGCGGAAAGGCCCUUUCGGGGGUACUCGAGCGGCGAACGGGUGAGUAACACGUGAGUAAUCUGCCCCUGGCUUUGGGAUAGCCACCGGAAACGGUGAUUAAUACCGGAUACGACCACUUCUCGCAUGGGCUGGUGGUGGAAAGUUUUUCGGCCAGGGAUGUGCUCGCGGCCUAUCAGCUUGAUGGUGAGGUAAUGGCUCACCAUGGCUUCGACGGGUAGCCGGCCUGGGAGGGGGGCCGGUCACACUGGGACUGGGACACGGCCCAGACUCCUACGGGAGGCAGCAGUGGGGAAUAUUGGACAAUGGGCGGAAGCCUGAUCCAGCAACGCCGCGUGAGGGAUGACGGCCUUCGGGUUGUAAACCUCUUUCAGCAGGGACGAAGCGCAAGUGACGGUACCUGCAGAAGAAGCACCGGCCAACUACGUGCCAGCAGCCGCGGUAA
rnacentral:rRNA from 1 species